rnacentral:misc_RNA from 1 species
UCCUGGUUAACCCAGGCAGUCUCGUUAGAGUUCCCACCUUAAAUGUUGGCAACUAACGAUAAGGGUUGCGCUCGUUGCGGGACUUAACCCAACACCUCACGGCACGAGCUGACGACAGCCAUGCAGCACCUGUGCAGCGGUCCCGAAGGAAAGCAACAUUUCUGUUGCGGUCCACUGCAUGUCAAGUCUGGGUAAGGUUCUUCGCGUUGCAUCGAAUUAAACCACAUGCUCCACUGCUUGUGCGGGUCCCCGUCAAUUCUUUUGAGUUUCACCCUUGCGAGCGUACUCCCCAGGCGGCAUACUUAACGCGUUUGCUACGGCACAGCCGGGGUUGAGUCCGGCUACACCAAGUAUGCAUCGUUUACGGCUAGGACUAC